UCCAUCAUUUUCCCAAAAUUUUGACAGGAUGGCCAUGGAAAAGUAAGCCUCACAGACAUGUCAAGGAGAAGGAUCGCCAGUGGGAUAAAGACUACCAAACCUACGAGGAAUUGAAGGUUUCAGCUUGCCACCAGUGCAUAGAGCAAGGAGGAAAUGUUGAGGAUGCCAAGCUAUGGAUGGGCUUUUUACACUUACAGUGGGGUACAUUCAGAGUGGAAUGCGCAUCAAGGAGACAAGCUAUUCAGAAGAUGCCAUAUGUGGCGAAAUAGAAAUGGACAAUGCAUCUGCUGAGGAACUGUUGGUUUGUUUGAAAAACUUUGAAGACAUCAUUAAAGGUACAACAAAUUAGAAAUUAAGUGCUUAGCGUGGUGGCUGUGACCUUCAAGACCCUGUAAAUCGACCCCAAAAAACUUUAUCCAAGGAACAUCUUUGUGAAGUGUCAUUCAAAUAGAUUUAGUGCUAUGCAUGGUGGAUGUGACCUACAUGACCUUGUAAAUCGACCCAAAAAAACUUUUAUCCACAGAAUAUCUGAGUGAAGUGUCAUUCAAAUAGAAUUAGUGCUAAUCAUGGUGUAUGUGACCUUCAUGACCUUGAAAACGGACUCGGUACAAAGCAGAAGUAAUCCAAGGAUAUACAAACUAAGCGAAAUGGAUGGAAAGGACUCAA